rnacentral:rRNA from 1 species
CCCUUAGAUGUUCUGGGCCGCACGCGCGCUACACUGAUCAGUGCAACAAGCAUCCGUCCUUGGCCGACAGGCCCGGGCAAUCUUUGAACGCUGAUCGUGAUGGGGAUAGACUUUUGCAAUUUUUGGUCUUCAACGAGGAAUUCCUAGUAAACGCAAGUCAUCAACUUGCAUUGAUUACGUCCCUGCCCUUUGUACACACCGCCCGUCGCACCUACCGAUUGAAUGGUCCGGUGAAGCCUCCGGAUUGGCGUGCACCCUCGGGUGCUGCCGAGAAGUUGGCUAAACCUUACCAUUUAGAGGAAGGUGAAGUCGUAUCA